rnacentral:lncRNA from 1 species
UGGAAAAAUGCAAACUGAUCAUUCUUACUGAAUGAAAAGACAACUUAUGUUCUUUCUCUCACAGGGCAACUAUGGACCAUGCUUUCAAGAAACAGGAGGCUCUUUAAUAAUGAUGAUAAGGACAGUUGAUCUUACCACAUCCUGAUUAUCUAGGAACAAUGGAGGAGAGCUAAAUGACUUCUUCCAGAGGACAGCCUAAGCAUGAGGAUGUUACCAUGCCGAUGCACUCUACAAACACUAUGAAGAACAUCAUCCAAAUAGACUUCAUGGACAAAGGAAGAAAGAGAAGUGACUUGGUUAUAGUGACACAGUAGGUAGACCAAUGGCAUAACAGAUACUUACCUAAUGUAAAUUGUCAGAGCUGAAGAUCUGGCCACUGGUGUCCUGACUCUCAGUCUAGUGCUCAACCCACUGGACAACACAGAUCUGUCCACUGGUGUCCUGACUCUCAGUCUAGUGCUCAACUCACUGGACAACACUGCUUCUUUGUACUGGUGAGUGGAGUUGACAUAAAC